CCGUCGAUAGCUCAGCUGGUAGAGCGGAGGACUGUAGAUGCAAAAGCAAGUUAUCCUUAGGUCACUGGUUCAAUUCCGGUUCGACGGA
rnacentral:tRNA from 1 species